AUCAACUUUCGAUGGUAGGAUAGAGGCCUACCAUGGUGGUAACGGGUAACGGGGUGUUAGGGCACGACACCGGAGAGGGAGCCUGAGAAACGGCUACCACAUCCAAGGAUGGCAGCAGGCGCGCAAAUUACCCAAUCCCGACACGGGGAGGUAGUGACAAUAAAUAACAAUACGGGGUUCUUUCGGAUUUCGUAAUUGGAAUGAGUACAAUUUAAAUCUCUUAACGAGGAACAAUUGGAGGGCAAGUCUGGUGCCAGCAGCCGCGGUAAUUCCAGCUCCAAUAGCGUAUAUUAAAGUUGCUGCAGUUAAAAAGCUCGUAGUUGAAUUUCGGGACCGAUAUAUCGGUCGUGCCUCGGUACGUACUGGUAUUUUCGGUUUCUCCCUUCUGAUGAACCUUGAUGUCAUUAAUUUGGUGUCUUGGGGAAUCAGGACUGUUACUUUGAAAAAAUUAGAGUGUUUAAAGCAGGCUCACGCUUGAAUACAUUAGCAUGGAAUAAUGAAAUAGGACGUUUGAUUCUAUUUUGUUGGUUUCUAGGAUCGACGUAAUGAUUAAUAGGAAUAGUUGGGGGCAUUAGUAUUCAAUUGUCAGAGGUGAAAUUCUUGGAUUUAUUGAAGACUAACUACUGCGAAAGCAUUUGCCAAGGAUGUUUUCAUUAAUCAAGAACGAAAGUUAGGGGAUCGAAGACGAUCAGAUACCGUCGUAGUCUUAACCAUAAACUAUGCCGACUAGGGAUCGGAUGAUGUUAAUUUUUUAAUGACUCAUUCGGCGCCUUACGGGAAACCAAAGUGUUUGGGUUC
rnacentral:rRNA from 1 species